UUCUUAUCGUGAGAGGUGGAGGGAAAGGCCCUGUGAAACCUCAGCAACCAGCCCGGAGAGGGUCAGGUGCUAAUUCCUGCAGAGUAUUCUGCAAAGAUAAGAA
rnacentral:ncRNA from 2 species